rnacentral:rRNA from 1 species
UUGGAGGGCAAGUCUGGUGCCAGCAGCCGCGGUAAUUCCAGCUCCAAUAGCGUAUACUAAAGUUGUUGCAGUUAAAAAGCUCGUAGUUGAAUUUCGGGAUUAGUACGCUGGUCGUGCCUUCGGUACGUACUGGUGUUACUGAUUUCUACCUUCUGACGAACCAUCAUGUCAUUAAUUUGGUGUGGUGGGGAAUCAGGACUGUUACUUUGAAAAAAUUAGAGUGUUUAAAGCAGGCUCGCGCUUGAAUACAUUAGCAUGGAAUAAUGAAAUAGGACGUUGAUCCUAUUUUGUUGGUUUCUAGGAUUGACGUAAUGAUUAAUAGGGAUAGUUGGGGGCAUUAGUAUUCAAUUGUCAGAGGUGAAAUUCUUGGAUUUAUUGAAGACUAACUACUGCGAAAGCAUUUGCCAAGGAUGUUUUCAUUAAUCAAGAACGAAAGUUAGGGGAUCGAAGACGAUCAGAUACCGUCGUAGUCUUAACCAUAAACUAUGCCGACUAGGGAUCGGAUGAUGUUAUUUUUAAUGACUCAUUCGGCGCCUUACGGGAAAC